rnacentral:rRNA from 1 species
ACACCAGACUCCUACGGGAGGCAGCAGUGGGGAAUAUUGCACAGUGGGGGAAACCCUGAUGCAGCAACGCCGCGUGAGUGAAGAAGUAUUUCGGUAUGUAAAGCUCUAUCAGCAGGGAAGAAGAAAGACGGUACCUGACUAAGAAGCCCCGGCUAACUACGUGCCAGCAGCCGCGGUAAUACGUAGGGGGCAAGCGUUAUCCGGAUUUACUGGGUGUAAAGGGAGCGUAGACGGCUGUGCAAGUCUGAAGUGAAAGCCCGCGGCUCAACCGCGGAACUGCUUUGGAAACUUUUUUGCUGGAGUACCGGAGAGGUAAGCGGAAUUCCUAGUGUAGCGGUGAAAUGCGUAGAUAUUAGGAGGAACACCAGUGGCGAAGGCGGCUUACUGGACGGUAACUGACGUUGAGGCUCGAAAGCGUGGGGAGCAAACAGGAUUAGAUACCCUCGUA